UACAGAGGGGGCAAGCGUUGUUCGGAAUUACUGGGCGUAAAGGGCGCGUAGGCGGUCCUGUAAGUCCCGCGUGAAAUCCCCCGGCUCAACUGGGGAACUGCGCGGGAAACUGUGGGGCUUGAGUUCGGGAGAGGGAAGCGGAAUUCCGGGUGUAGCGGUGAAAUGCGUAGAUAUCCGGAGGAACACCGGUGGCGAAGGCGGCUUCCUGGACCGACACUGACGCUGAGGCGCGAAAGCUAGGGGAGCAAACGGG
rnacentral:rRNA from 1 species